CUCCUCUUUUUCCUUGUAGGAAGAAUGGAAAUCAAUAGGAAAUUUCUAACAUGGAUAUGGAUUUUAUUUCCUGCAUAGAUCAUGUAUGGCCUCAAAAUGUCCUGCUUGAAAACUGUCUGCCCUCUUAAGAUUCUCCACAUAUCUUCCCAAACCACUACACCAUAAAUGUUAAAUCUCCAAGGAAGAAGCUGUAUAAAAUUCCUGUGAUCU